rnacentral:SRP_RNA from 1 species
GCCUUGAAGCAAGUUCAUCCUAUGAAUCGUGUCAGGUUCGAGAGAAAGCAGCACUAAGUAGAUUUUGGACUGUGCUUCUUGUUAUU